GAUGAACGCUGGCGGCGUGCUUAAUACAUGCAAGUCGAACGGAGGAUGUAGCGAUAUAUCCUCAGUGGCGAACGGGUGAGUAACGCGUUGGUGACCUGCCCCGAAGAGAGGGAUAACAGUUCGAAAGGACUGCUAAUACCGCAUGAGGUCGUUGAGGCUAGAGGCUCGAUGACGAAAGGAGAAAUCCGCUUUGGGAGGGGCCUGCGUCCCAUCAGCUAGUUGGUAAGGUAAAGGCUUACCAAGGCGAAGACGGGUAGGGGGCCUGAGAGGGUGACCCCCACACUGGCGACUGAACAACGGCCGACGACACCUACCGGGUGGGCAG
rnacentral:rRNA from 1 species